rnacentral:tRNA from 1 species
AAUAUCAGNUUUGGGUGUUGAUGGUGGGGAGUUAGUUCCUUCUUCUUGA